rnacentral:rRNA from 1 species
ACUCAAAUGAAUAGACGGGGGCCCGCACAAGCAGCGGAGCGUGUGGUUUAAUUCGACGCAACGCGAAGAACCUUACCAGGGCUUGACAUGUACUGUUCAAUCGGUGAAAGCCGAUGGUCUUCGGACGAAGUGCACAGGUGCUGCACGGCUGUCGUCAGCUCGUGCCGUGAGGUGUUGGGUUAAGUCCCGCAACGAGCGCAACCCCUGGCGUAAGUUACAUGUGUCUUACGCGACUGCUGGUGGCAAGCCAGAGGAAGGCGGGGAUGACGUCAAGUCAGCGUGGCCCUUACGUCCUGGGCUACACACACGCUACAAUGGCCGGUACAACGCGCAGCGACGCAGCGAUGCGAAGCGAAUCGCUCAAAGCCGGCCCCAGUUCAGAUUGCAGGCUGAAACCCGCCUGCAUGAAGGCGGAGUUGCUAGUAACCGUGGGUCAGCACACCGCGGUGAAUACGUUCCCGGGCCUUGUACACACCGCCCGU